rnacentral:rRNA from 1 species
GCGGCCUCAGGUCGUCCGAGUUGUAGUCUAGAGAAUCGUUUUCCGCGUUGGCCUGUGUACAAGUCCCUUGGAACAGGGCGUCAUAGAGGGUGAGAAUCCCGUCCUUGACACAGAUUACCAAUGCUUUGUGAUGCGAUCUCGAAGAGUCGAGUUGUUUGGGAAUGCAGCUCAAAAUGGGUGGUAAAUUCCAUCUAAAGCUAAAUAUUGGCGAGAGACCGAUAGCGAACAAGUACCGUGAGGGAAAGAUGAAAAGCACUUUGGAAAGAGAGUUAAACAGUACGUGAAAUUGUUAAAAGGGAAACGAUUGAAGUCAGUCAUGCUUUCCGAGACUCAGCCGAUUCUGUCGGUGUACUUCUCGGUUGGCAGGCCAGCAUCAGUUUCGAUCUGUGGAAAAGGUUGGAGGGAACGUGGCAUCCUCGGAUGUGUUAUAGCCCUUCUUCGAAUACAUAGAGCGGGACUGAGGAACGCAGCGCGCCUUUUAUUAGGUUGGCCCUCGGGUACAUACGCGCUUAGGAUGCUGGCAUAAUGGCUUUAAACGACCCGUCUUGAACACGG